rnacentral:rRNA from 1 species
AGCGAACGCUGGCGGCAGGCCUAACACAUGCAAGUCGAACGAACUCUUCGGAGUUAGUGGCGGACGGGUGAGUAACACGUGGGAACGUGCCUUUAGGUCCGGAAUAACUCAGGGAAACUUGUGCUAAUACCGAAUGUGCCCUUCGGGGGAAAGAUUUAUCGCCUUUAGAGCGGCCCGCGUCUGAUUAGCUAGUUGGUGAGGUAACGGCUCACCAAGGCGACGAUCAGUAGCUGGUCUGAGAGGAUGGCCAGCCACACUGGGACUGAGACACGGCCCAGACUCCUACAGCAGGCAGCAGUGGGGAAUCUUGCGCAAUGGGCGAAAGCCUGACGCAGCCAUGCCGCGUGAAUGAUGAAGGUCUUAGGAUUGUAAAAUUCUUUCACCGGUGACGAUAAUGACGGUACCCGGAGAAGAAGCCCCGGCUAACUACGUGCCAGCCGCCGCCGUAA